rnacentral:rRNA from 1 species
UAAUACGUAGGGUGCGAGCGUUAAUCGGAAUUACUGGGCGUAAAGCGUGCGCAGGUGGUUUUGUAAGUCAGAUGUGAAAGCCCCGGGCUCAACCUGGGAACUGCGUUUGAAACUACAAGACUAGAGUGUGGCAGAGGGGGGUGGAAUUCCGCGUGUAGCAGUGAAAUGCGUAGAGAUGUGGAGGAACACCGAUGGCGAAGGCAGCCCCCUGGGUCAACACUGACGCUCAGGCACGAAAGCAUGGGGAGCAAACAGGAUUAGAUACCCUGGUAGUCC